ACGUAGGGGGCGAGCGUUGUUCGGAAUUACUGGGCGUAAAGGGCGUGUAGGCGGUGCGGUAAGUCGGGCGUGAAAUCUCCAGGCUCAACCUGGAGAGGCCGUUCGAAACUGCCGUGCUAGAGUGCGGGAGGGGGAAGUGGAAUUCCCGGUGUAGCGGUUCAAUGCGAACAGAUCGGGAGGAACACCUGUGGCGAAGGCGUCUUCCUGGCCCGCAACUGACGCUGAGGCGCGUAAGCUAGGGGAGCAAACAG
rnacentral:rRNA from 1 species